GACGAACGCUGGCGGCGUGCUUAACACAUGCAAGUCGAACGGAAAGGCCCUGCUUUUGUGGGGUGCUCGAGUGGCGAACGGGUGAGUAACACGUGAGUAACCUGCCCUUGACUUUGGGAUAACUUCAGGAAACUGGGGCUAAUACCGGAUAGGAGCUCCUGCUGCAUGGUGGGGGUUGGAAAGUUUCGGCGGUUGUGGAUGGACUCGCGGCUUAUCAGCUUGUUGGUGGGGUAGUGGCUUACCAAGGCUUUGACGGGUAGCCGGCCUGGGAGGGUGACCGGCGACAUUGGGACUGAGAUAGGGCCCAGAGUCCAACGGUAGGCAGCAGUGGGGAAUAUUGCACAAUGGGCGGAAGUCUGAUGAAGCAACGCCGCGUGCGGGAUGACGGCCUUCGGGUUGUAAACCGCUUUCGCCUGUGACGAAGCGUGAGUGACGGUAAUGGGUAAAGAAGCACCGGCUAACUACGUG
rnacentral:rRNA from 1 species